rnacentral:lncRNA from 1 species
CGGAACUCUUUCUUAAAGACUUCCGAUUUUGAUGAACUAAACCGGAACUCUUUUAAGAAGUGUUCCGGUAGUCAGCCUUGUUUUUUUCCACACCGGAAUUCUUCUUUGAAGUGUUCCGGUGCGUUUUUAUUUUUAUUUUUUGUAUUUUUAAUUAUUUUGUUAUAAUAUUUUUUUGGAGUGGUUCGAAGACGAGGUACAAAUGGUAGGAUUCCAGACCGCAGUUUAGGUCGGGACGCAUCUUCAUCUGCAAU